UUCAGAAUCACUUUAUUUUACUGUAAACACUCUCUGCAAUGUACUGCUGAGUUCGAAUUUUUCUAAUUCAAGGAUUAUUGAAGUUUGAUUCUACAAGACCAGUGAGAUUUAUUUAGCCUAAAUAAUUUU